rnacentral:misc_RNA from 1 species
UUUCCGUAGGUGAACCUGCGGAAGGAUCAUUAUUGUAUAACCGAGGUGCGAGGGCUGUCGCUGACCCGACAGUCGUGCACGCCCGAGUGUGUCCUCUUGCAUAAUAAUCCAUCUCACCCUUUGUGCAUCACCGCGUGGGCACCCUUCGGGAUCAUCUCGGAGGGGGGCUCGCGUUUUCACACAAACCCCCCUUUUAAAAGUGUAGAAUGACCACAUUUAUGCAAUCAAUACAACUUUCAACAACGGAUCUCUUGGCUCUC